CCUACGGGAGGCAGCAGUGGGGGAUAUUGCACAAUGGGGGAAACCCUGAUGCAGCGACGCCGCGUGUGGGAAGACGGUCCUCUGGAUUGUAAACCACUGUCCCCAGGGACGAAGAUGACGGUACCUGGGGAGGAAGCUCCGGCGAACUACGUGCCAGCAGCAGCGGGAAUACGUAGGGAGCGAGCGUUGUCCGGAAUUACUGGGUGGAAAGGGAGCGUAGGCGGGACUGCAAGUUGGGUGUCAAAUCUACCGGCGCAACCGGUAGCCGCACUCAAAACUGACGUUCUUGAGUGAAGUAGAGGCAGGUGGAAUUCCUAGUGUAGCGGUGAAAUGCGUAGAUAUUAGGAGGAACACCAGUGGCGAAGGCAGCCUGCUGGGCUUUUACUGACGCUGAGGAUCGAAAGUGUGGGGAGCGAACAGGAUUAGAUACCCGGGUAGUC
rnacentral:rRNA from 1 species